AGAGUUUGAUCCUGGCUCAGGAUAAACGCUGGCGGCGUGCCUAACACAUGCAAGUCGAACGCUCUGCGCAAGCAGGGAGUGGCGGACGGGUGAGGAACACGUGGGUUAUCUGCCCAGAGGUGAGGAAUACCGGCGAGAAAUCGCCGACAAUACCGCAUACGUUUCUUCGGAAACAAAGCUCGCAAGAGCGCCUUUGGAUG
rnacentral:rRNA from 1 species